UACGUACGAGGCGAGCGUUAUCCGGAAUUACUGGGCGUAAAGCGUGCGCAGGCGGUUAUGUAAGACAGAUGUGAAAUCCCCGGGCUCAACCUGGGAACUGCAUUUGUGACUGCAUGGCUAGAGUACGGUAGAGGGGGAUGGAAUUCCGCGUGUAGCAGUGAAAUGCGUAGAUAUGCGGAGGAACACCGAUGGCGAAGGCAAUCCCCUGGGCCUGCACUGACGCUCAUGCACGAAAGCGUGGGGAGCAAACAGG
rnacentral:rRNA from 1 species